CACAAGCGGUGGGGCAUGUGGUUUAAUUCGAUGAUACGCGAGGAACCUUACCAGGGCUUAAAUGUAGGUUGCAUUAGACAGAGAUGUUUAUUUCUUCGGACUACUUACAAGGUGCUGCAUGGUUGUCGUCAGCUCGUGCCGUGAGGUGUCAGGUUAAGUCCUAUAACGAGCGCAACCCCUGUCGUUAGUUGCCAGCAUGUAAAGAUGGGGACUCUAACGAGACUGCCGGUGCAAACCGCGAGGAAGGUGGGGAUGACGUCAAAUCAUCACGGCCCUUACGUCCUGGGCUACACACGUGCUACAAUGGUAUGGACAGAGAGCAGCCACUGGGUGACCAGGAGCGAAUCUACAAACCAUAUCACAGUUCGGAUCGGAGUCUGCAACUCGACUCCGUGAAGCUGGAAUCACUAGUAAUCGCAUAUCAGCCAUGAUGCGGUGAAUACGUUCCCGGGCCUU
rnacentral:rRNA from 1 species